GGUCCUCGACGGACCGCCCAUCGGACUUUUAUUGGUCCAUUUGAAAGGCCUGUGGGCACGCGCCGCCCGCAGCCUUAAAGGGGCCGCGCGCAGCCGUGUUUCCCUCUGGACCAGACGCCGCCUGCACGGGUGGGGACGCUGGUCGCUGCCGGGGGCAAGUCUGCCGACUCCAGAAAGAAAGGCGAAAGAAUAGAUUGUGAAGCUAAGUGCUGUGAGGGAAACCAGAGGCAGCUGAGAUGUCGUGGAAGUAACAGCGAAUGAAGCCAGGAUGCUGGAUUCUGACCUUGGAACUGUUCUGAAGACACAGGAUCUCAUUAUGUUACCCAGGAUGAUCUCAAACCCAUGGACUCAAGCAAUUCUCCUGCAUCAGCCUCCCAAAGUGCUGGGAUUACAGAGAUAUGGUCCUGUCAUGUUGCCCAGGCUGAUCGUGAACUCCAGGCCUCAAGCAAUACUCCUUACUUCUGUCUUGGCCUCCCAAAGUGGUGAGAUUACUUUGGUGUAGCCACUGUGCCUGACCCUAGUUUCAGAUUUUAUACCAGAGAACUAGACAAGGAAUUCCCAACCUUUGUUUUAUCCCAAGAUGUCCUCCUUUUCUGCUUUUUUUUUCCCUCCCAAAGAGAACAGUGGGGGUUGGAGGGAUGGUUAUCCUUGGGCUAUUCUACUUGUUUUUGUUCUGGCACACCUACUCCUUACUACAGUUAGAAAAAUUAUACACUGUAGCUUAUACUCAGAUCUCUGGUCACUUAAAUACAAGAAGCUUCAGUCUUUCUUACUUUCAUUUUUUGUCUUUUUUUGGGAUGGUGGUGGUAAUGGUGUUGCUAGACUCUAAGCUCUGUAAGAUUAUGUCUUUGUUUAGGCAUGGGCAGUGCCUAGCCCAUAGCAGAUGAAUGAAUGAAUGAAUGAAUGAAUGAAUGGGGAUAUUAUCCUAUAGAUGGUGUGUGGUUUAGAAAAUCAACUAUUGAGACUUGACAUGAAAUUCUACAUCGGGCGUUGAGAUUAACAUGAUUCCCAGUUUUCACUGAGGGAUAUCACAUCCAGAGAACCUGAGAAGGGAUCCCUAGCUCCUUGUUCUAGCCUUGAGAAGUAGUGGAUGAGCUAUGAAAAGACAGCUUUUAAAAAUAAAUGAAAUCCUAGUGAUAAUUUGAUCCACUCUCAGACUAACUAUGAAAGUUGACUAAGAUCAAACAGAGCUAGUGGCAGAUCUGGGACUGGAAUUAGCCCUCCAUGUCCCCAGCUCCAGUACUUUUCUUACUACAUGAGAUAGUCUUGCCAGUGACCAUCACUGCAAGGCAAAGUAAAGUUCUGUAACAAAGACCUAGAACAGAAAUAGAAGAUACAUGGUAUACAUGCCAUGACAUUUCCUUCCAGUGCACAGAAGAGAUGUCACUAGCCAUAUGACAUUCUUCCCAUUGGGUGCGAAUAGGCCCUCAGGCAGCCACUACCAACCAGUCAGAGUCAGCACUCAAGAGGAAACCCAUCUACCAUUCCUCUUCCAGAGGAAAUAAAGGUUUCAUCAGUCAAGGAACUCUGGCCUCGACCUGUCUUCUCCAGAUGAGCUGAAAACUCCAGCAGGAACCUCACACUCUUUAUUGCUCUUCACUGUGCCCACAUCCACAAAGGACUUAAAAGUGAUGUCUGUAAGCAGGUUUUCCACAGCAUGGGUCUGCCAGACAGAGCAGGUGCAGGAUUAGUCAUGACUCCAAGCCAGGCAAGGUGAUU
rnacentral:lncRNA from 1 species